rnacentral:lncRNA from 1 species
UGACAUACCGUUUAUGCAUACACUUUCUAUUUUAAACAACCAAAACUUGUUCUUUAUGUAUAUUUUAUCUUUUGGUAGAGUCCUGGAAAACCUUUUUCUAUAAUAAACUGGCUUAGUUCUUUAAGAAAAAAUUAAUGAUUUUUUAUGAUAUUUCUUGUACUUGCAAUCCACGUCAUAGAGUCAAGUCAACAUAACAAAAUUGGGUAUUAAUUGCCACUAAACAAGACAUCAUAAAGGAAAGUGUCAGUCCGAAACAUGGGGUGGCCCUACCACAGGUAAUGCAACAGUGUUAAAUCCAAAAGUCACACAACAGAAAAGAAAGGGAAAAAAGAAGAAGAUAAAUCUAGUGAAGUGUGUAUGCUAAGAGGCAAAAUCUAAAAUUUAAACUUAAUGGAUUCAAGGUUCUGCAUCCUCCGAAAGUAUUUGCUCAAAACUUAGUAUUAUGCUACCGUUUGGGGGUGGGGUCAACACAAGUUUACGGUUUAUAAUGAAAAUGAUGGAUUCAACUGAACCUGCUCUCAACACUAUACGUACGCAUGUCUAGAUAAGAAGAAAAGAACAACGUCAAUGUGAAAACCUAAGAUCCCAAUAUGAUAUACAGGGGCGAAUCCAUCCCUUCCGUAUCGGGUUCAACUGAAUCCAUUACUUUUAUGGCAGAGUCAAAAUUUAUGUGUAAAUUCAUUACAAUUGCAACAAAGAAUAAAUGUGAACUCAUAACUUUAAAAUAUAAUGGAUUGAACGCUAAAAAUUUUAAUAGUUGAAAUCAUAAAAUUUAAAUCUUGAAUCCGCCUACUAUAAUACGCCAAGAGUUUCAACUUCUCGAAUGUACAGAGGUGGACCUACCCCGGUAAACUCAAAAGACUCGUCGUGUAUCUUUAGACAGGAAAUGAAGCAUCUGCCAUGGCUGAUGAGAUGCUACUAAUUACUGGUUUGACAGUUUGAGGCAAAAACUCGUCGUGUACCCUCACACAAACAACUUAAAUGCUAACAAACAGUAUUGUUACAUUGCUUUUCCAAUGGAAAUUUUAGAUGUUGUAUUUAUACGUUUUUCGUCCUUUUUCUAAUUGCCCCCUCAUCUAAUUCCAACAAAUCCUUAUCCCAUGCUCCAGAGGCGGAUAUAUUAUUCCAUCACCGGGUUCAUAUAAAUCCAAUACUUACUCAAUGUAUAAAUAAUUUAUGUGUAUAAAGAUACAAUAAAUGAUAUGUCUAAAUAGUGAGUUAGACGACAAAUCUUUUCAUACUAUAAACUGUGUUUUCCACGAUGCCACAAACUUUAAGUCACCAAAUCGAAUCAUAUCAAGUAGUUUCUUUUCUAAAUCAUGGCUCGUGGGAUUUCUUUUGGAAUUCUUUUUAAAGAAUAACAAUGACAAAGUAAAAGCUAAGCUCCAUUAUAUUAUGGGGUCAAUAUUAAUUUUCCUAAUUUCUUCGUUAAUAAGUUUGAUGUUUGGUUUGAUUGAUGGGACUACGAGGAAAAAGAAAAAGAAGCAGACAGAGAAGAUAAAAGGAAAAAAAGCAACCAAUUCCUAUGUAUCUUUUUUAGUCAUACUAACGAAACUUUUAUUGCUGGAAUCGAUCAACUUGUUGCAAGUUGCUUGCCCUAUUGCAAUUUUAAAACUGAUCAUUCACUAUUUUUAGGAUGCCAUUCUUAAUAAGAGUAUUAUAGACUAUCUCAUUAUUAUGAUCGGGUUUGAGUCAGAGGCAGAUCUAAGAUUUCAAGAGGUUUUGUGUAUUAUUGUGAAGGGUGAAUCUAGAAUUUAUAUUGACGAAUUUGAUUUUUAUCUCUUAUCAUGAACCCAUUAUACUUUUAAAAUUGGAGGUUCAAAAUAAUAUUCUUUGAAACUUUUAGUGAUUUUUACAUAUGUAUAUAUACACACACUCUGUGUCGUGCACCCAAUUAUAAUUGUUGCACCAUAGGGGCUUUUGAGUAUGGCGCACACAUAUAUUUAAGUAAUUUUGAAAAAAUAUAAUAUUAUUAUAUAUGAUUUAGGAAGAGGAGCAUGAGUUCACGUGAACCCACAUCUCUUAACCUAGAUACACCUUUGGUUUGAGUUUGAGAAAGGUUUUUGGUAGACAUUGCUUCCAAUGAAAUGGAAUACGGGGAACUCUCCGUCUAAGUGGUUAAUCCGACGAGUCAAUUCUCAAUGCGAUGCAUCCGUGAAAUGGGACGGAGAUCUGCCCGAACUUAGUCCAGUCCUAUUAAAGAUGGGGGCGAAUCAAGCAACUCUUAUAGAUAGAUGGGAUAGGAAGAACUGAGACCACUCGACCGAUCUCAUCCACUUGAAAAUUGGUGUAAAAGUUGCUAAUUCGACUUUCUAAUAGACUUGUUAGUUCCGCAGCUCGGGGAGAAAGUUCCAUAAUUCAAUUCAAGAUAGAUAGAAGGGAGAAUGCCGCUGACAAAGAUGAGCUCUACCAGUCUCUCCUUCUUUAAUGGACCUUAUGUGGCGCGAACUCGAUUAGUCAGAAUUUCAAUACGGCACCGGACACCGGGUGAGGGAAAGAAAGCUAUUGCACUAUGCAAAUUUUUAUUGUAUGAAAAUUCAAUCAACAAACAAAAGAACUAGGACUAGGCCCCGUUUGGCCAUAAGUUUCGUCAAAAUAAAUUUGAGAUUUAUUUUCAAAACUCUGUUUGGCCAUAAAUUUUGCUCAUAUUUUGGCCAAAUCCUAAAUCGUAAAUUUCAAAUUCCAAAUCAGCUAUUGAACGGAAUUUGGGCCAAAAUCCCAAAACUUGGUAAUUAUAUACUCCCUCCGUUUCAUAUUGUUUGAGAUAGUUUGACGCGGCACGGAGUUUAAGCAAAGAGAAGAAACUUUUAAAACUUGUAGUCUUAAACGAUUAAGGGGUAAAAGAUUUGUGGGGCCAUACCAUUUGUGUGGCUAUAAAAGCUUUUCACUAAGGACAAAAAUGGUAAAAUGAAGAGUUCAAAGUUUAAUUAUUUCCAAAUUUAGAAAUGUGUCAUUUAU